rnacentral:rRNA from 1 species
UCUUGUGCCAGCCGCCGCGCUAAUAUCGGUGAGGAGCAAGCGUUAAUCGGAAUUACUGGGCGUGAAGCCUUAGAAGGUGGUUAAUUAAGUCAGAUGUGAAAUCCCUAAGCUUAACUUAGGAACUGCAUUUGAAACUGAUUAGCUAGAGUUUUGUAGAGGGGGGUAGAAUUCCAGGUGUAGCGGUGAAAUGCGUAGAGAUCUGGAGGAAUACCAGUGGCGAAGGCGACCCCCUGGACAAAGACUGACACUCAUGUACGAAAGCGUGGCGAGCAAACAGGAUUAGAUACCCUGGUAGUCCAUGCUGUAAACAAUGUCAAUUUGAAGGUUGUAGCCUUGAGUUAUAGCUUUCGUAGCUAACGCGUUAAAUUGACCGCCUGGGGAGUACGGCCGCAAGGUUAAAACUCAAAUGAAUUGACGGGGGCCCGCACAAGCGGGGGAGCAUGUGGUUUAAUUCGAUGCAACGCGAAAAAACCUUACCUAUUCUUGGACAUCCAAAGAAUAAAACAGAAAUGUUUUAGUGCCCUUAGGGAACCUUUGAGACAGGUGCUGCAUGGGCUGUCGUCAGCUCGUGUUGUGAAAUGUUAGAUUAAGUCCAGCACCGAGCGCAACUCCUUGUCCCUUUGUUUGCCAUCGAGCAAAGCCGGGAACUUCAAAGGAGACUUGCUGGUGAUAAACGGGAGGAAGGUGGCGGACGACCGUCAGGUCCUCCUUGCCCUUACCGAAUAGGGCUACCCCACUGGCUACCAAGUGCAUAUACAAAGAAGACAGGACCUUUGGCAGAAACCUAGUCAAAUUCUCCAUU